rnacentral:sRNA from 2 species
UCAGCCGGCAUGCCGAAUCCUGCCGCUGGCAGAUGAGCACAGCGUUUCCGCAUGGCAGGAGCGGGGGACCCACCUUCUGAUCGUCGUCAUGGCGAUCUCGGGGCGAAGACGACUGACGCAACGGGGAGCGUGCAGUAGUCCGGGGACCUCUUGACCCGAGCCCGACAGCUCACCUCGCAGGCAUUCAUGAGAGGUACU